UAGAAUUCUUGUUUUCUCCUGGGAGACUCUCCUCAUUUUGGCUGGGGACAAAUGUUUGCUUUUUUUUUUUCUGUUUUUUUUUUUUUUUUUUUUUUUUUUUUUUUUUUUUUGUUCUCCCACAAGGUGUGCCUUGGCUGGCCUUCUCUGGUUGCUACUUAUGCACGGACACAGGCACUUGGCAAUCACUUUUACUCGUGUGAACUUAGUGUGUGCCUUGCUCACAGUGGCUCCUUAGUAAAUGCUUACUGAUAUGUUUAUAAAAAGAUAAAGAAGUAUAAGAUAUGUUUUGUGGGGCUGUGGUGAGGUAUGGGGGAAGAGGGUGUGGUGGACCUAUGCCAAUUACCCCUGAGGGACCAGUCACAUGAGUUAAGAGGGUAGUAGAGCCAGAGAAAGGCAGAAAGAGUAGAGAAGUAGAGGCCAGCCAUGGCCACAAGUGUGUGGAGAGAGGGUUGGGGGAAGGGGAGAGCAAGAGCAAGAGCAAGAGAGAAGCAAGAGGGAAGCAAGAGUAAGAGAGGAAUGAGGGGCCAAGCAGCCCUUUUAUAGUGGAUCAGGCCUACCUGGCUAUUGCCAGGUAAAUGUGGGGUUGAGUUUAGACAGAAUGCUAAUACUUAUGGGAUGAAUAAUGCAUGUAUGAAGUAUGAGGGGCAUCUCAUAAUAUCUUGCUUUUAUUGGACUUCCUAGGUGGUACUGUUUAACAAUGGGACUCUAAUUGGCUUGAGCCAUGAAAGACAUUACUUAUGGGAUCUUGUGAUCUGUGUGUCAAUCAUUUAUCUGUAAAAACUUGUUUCAGUUCUUCCUUAUGUAGGUAGUAGGGAAGGAAAUUUAUGGCUAUUUAGGACUUUUUAAUCUAGGUUAUUUUUGACAGACCUGGAAUUUGGAAGGUAUCACUUGGGGCCUCAAUUUACAAAUGGAAAAAAUCAGGUGUAAUGGUCUCUGUCCGUAGGGGGAGAGUUUGGGGUAUGCUGACACAUUGUACCCUGUGGGAAAGCAGGUGAGCCCAGUCACAGGGAACCACUUUCCUCCGACCAGGAUAUAGAACUGGCUGCUGACAGAAAUGGGUCUCAUGCAGGGUUCCAUGAGAGCCUCUGAAGAAACAGCAACAGAGACGACAAUGUUGCAGUGACAACUGAAGCACUGUCUCAAUCAAUGGAUGUGUGAAGUAUUCUCUUAUUAGCCAGUGCUCUAGUAGGGGAAACCAUUUUCUGUGAAAUGGAACGAAGAGAACAGCGGUGGUCAUGGGCAGCCCAGCCUCUUUUGCCUUUCCCUGCUGGUGAGGAGACCAUUUAAUUUGCACUAGAGUGCCAGCCAGCCCUGUAAACCUCAGCUCUUAGAAGUAAACCCAGCCCAUCUAGGUUGCAAAUGAGUCUCUCCAGCCCAGAGAGUCUGGAGACAGGGCCACCACCCUCUACUUUCCACGUGAGCCCCCAGGCAGCCCUUCCUGCCUUACCUGGCUCCUUGCUCCCAGUCAGAGCAGAACAGUGACUGCUCUUAAGUUUCCUGGCAUCAGUGGCUUGGCUGCUGCAUAUACAGUCUAAAUGGAGCUGAAAUGCAGCAGGCCUCCUGGGGGACUUUGUUCCCUGUCACUAACAGAGCCUCUUCUGGAAGACAGCAUCCUGGCCCCCUGUUGUUUGGUUGGUUUGGUUUUUUAGCAGGGCUGUAAAUGGGCACAUAGGUGCCCUUCCAUGCUUUGCAGGUAGGAGAGUGACUGGCUGCUCAGCAGGUCUUUGUUGACAUCUUUGUGAGUUCAUCACCCUUGGUGAGUGAGGUGAGCUAGCAGGGACUGGUAAGGCCUUUGGUCAGCUUGCAGAUGUCCUUCUGCAGAUUACCCUGCUCUUGGUUCCAGCCCUCUCUGCUACUACUGUGCAACUCUCCUAACCUCCCUCUGCUCAGUAAACCAUGCCAUUCCCUCUGGAAGCACAGGAUUCCUGCUGAAGAUGGACAAAGGUGAUGAGACAUGGAGGCGAAGAAUCUGACCACAUACUGAGGGUCUCCUGCAGCUACUACAUGAAGCACCAUGAACUGGGUGGCCUAAGACACUUCCAUAUUUCUAGGAGCUGGAACCUAAAGCCAUGAUGUGGGUUGUCUGCUAGAAGAAUCUCUUGGCCAUUUGUAUUAAGGUAGCAUGU